CUCUGAUUUACAUCUGGCUCCCAGUGGCUCAAUGCAGCAAAACCAUGAACAAAGAGGAGAGACAAUCAGCCAUUGAAGAUCAGCAACUCCUGAGAUGGGUAACACAGAGCUCCUGCAUCCACGACCUACUGAGGAUGUUGGCAGUCAUACUCAGCAGUCAACAAGAAGGCAUGGAUCUGAAGAUGACUGUUUAACGCCUGUGCCAAAUCAAGAUGCAGACCUGUUGUUAAGUGAUGUCUCAGAUUCCGCUCUUAAUCCUGCCAUUCCACAAUCUCUUGAGGACUCUGAAGUGAAGUUUGGACCCACUGUUGGUGAUGAUAGUGAUACUCAAGACACCACUCUUCCCUGGAAUCCACAUGACUUGAGCAGCAUGCAGCAUUCUACAAUCAAUGAUGGUCCUGUAUCAUCAAGCAGUCUUCCAGCAUCACCACAUCCAUUUGACCAAGAAAUCCUUAUUUUGAAAUGAAGACGAGUAAACAUAGUAGAUGAUGUCCUUAAUGUCU